CAGCUGCCCGCUUGCCCGUAGCUGACUCAGCUCCCUCAUCUUCAUCUCCAUCCUCUUCCUCACCAUCACCUUCUUCCUCCCCACCUUCUUCCUCUUCUUCAUCUACCUCGUUGUCAGCCUCCGGCUCCCCAUUUUCCUCAUUAGCAUUCCCGUGAGCAGGGGCGUCUCUUCCAUUUUCCGCCUCUUCCACAACUUCCUUCUUCUCCUUUAAGUCCUCGGUGGUGAUUUCGGAGCUGGUGUCUACGGCUGCGUCUGACAUGGUGGGGCACGCCGGUGACGCGAUGCAGGGGAUAAAAAAGAAAGCGACAGUUCAGGGACUCUGGCGAUAAAGCUGCCGGAGUCCGCGGCGGCGGAGGCGGCUGCGGCGAGCAAGGAGGCUGACGACGCACAAUGCAAAGACGGCUUUUCAGAGCAGCCAGUGGGGCAGGACAAUGUUUUUCAUCAAAUGUCCUUAGAUUUGGAGGAGGUUUCCCCAGUGUAUCCAGUGGUUGUCUUCCUCUUGAUUAAUAUUAAAGGAGGAGAAAAAGUGUGUAUUGGGGUCAGUGCAGAAAACAAAUCAUCCAAGCACACGAAGUGGAAUUUGCUAAUAGCAUUACUACUCACCCAGUGACUUCGGAGUCACAACCCAGGACACGGUUUUCCGCCCAUUUCUACAGACACAGUGAGAUUCUUCAUUCUUCUCUGUUGGAACAGCCAGGAAAGCGGAAGAGACCUCCAGCUGCACAACGACCUGUCCCCCACACCCAACCACAAGUUUAUGAAGGGAUGCAGAACAGCAUGAAUACUGCAAAAGAUGCUCUGUGCAUCAGGGUGUGAAGAGGAUACUGACCCACCAGAAAGAGACCCCACUGCUAGAACGAAUAAGAUGUGCUGAAAGCCGGAGCAUAACUUGGCCAUUCCCAAGAUUUAACAACAAACUAACUACCCAUCAUUAACAGUAAAGAAAGAAAACAAUCAGUAAGAGAUUAUAUAGACCUAAGAGAUGUUACAGACCGAAGAAGAACCUAUGGAGGAAGACAGGAAGAUGAGAGAGAUUUGAAGAUGGUAUGUGGCUGAAUUUGAAGAUAGAGAAAGGAACCGCAAGCAAAGAAUGCAAGAGGUCUCUAGAAGCUGGAAAAGGCAAGGAAAGAGUCUCCCCUCAAGCUCCAGCAGGAAUGCAGUCCUGACACCUUGAGUUUAGCCUAGUGAGACUUCUGACCUCCAGAACUAGAAGAUACAAGUGGUGUUUUAAGGCACUAAAACGAAGAACUAGAAGUAUUGUUUUAAGCCCAUAAAUUUGUGAUAAUCUGUUACAGUAGUAAUAGGCAAUGCAUACACAAGCACACAAAGUAAAAUUUUUCUGUGGUUAUUUUCCAUAUUUUUUCAGUUAUUUUCUGCCUUUUGAAGACAUUAAAGACAUAAAAUGAAUAUGUAUUAGUUUAGGAAUAAAAUUUAAAAUGUAGGAAUGCUAUAAAAGAAGAAAAAAUUUUAACUGGGCUAAAGCAAACCCAGUAUGUCAUCCUAUUACAUCAGCUUCUUCAUCUUUGGAUGAAGAGGUUGGUGACUGUUUCUUCUAAUGUGAGAAUAGCUCCAAAUUGCUAAAUUGUUCAGAAUUUGACAAGAUGAAAGAGGAAAGAAAAAGGAAAUCUUGAAAACAUUUACUGUUUCCUUGUUCAAUGGAUAACACAUGGAUUCCUGAUUGGGAGAUUUUUCCUCUUGCUUUGAUCUGAAGGCAGAAGGAAAUAUAUUCAUUAUUGUUUAAAAGAAUACAUUUUAACCUAACUUUAAAACAUUCAUGAUAUAUUUGUGAACCAUAAUCUUAUUACCCCAACCUAGAAGUUAUUUUGAUCACUAAACUUCCUUUUCAAUAUCUUCAUAUAUGUGUCUUUACAUACUUUAAAUAAAAAAUAUAUAAUUGUAUAACGUUUUAUUAUUUUAUUUAAUAUUUAUCACUUCUAAUAAAUAUAUGUAAAUAUGUAAACAGAAUUUAUGUAUUUUUUCAACAAACAUUUCAAACAUCUACCUUAUGCAAAGCAAUAUAUAGUGAAGGCAGAUAUAAAGUAUAAAUAAGUAUUCUCUAAUAUUGCCUCUAUUUUAAAAAAACUAAAUGUAUUGAGCAUUCUCUAUAUGCCAGGAACUGAACUAAGUAAUUUACUGUUAAUUUACACUAUAAUUCCAUGAAGUAGGUAUUAAUAUUAUCUCCAGGACUAAAGUGAGAUGAUUGACAUUUCUCUUUCCAGAUGAAAUUAGGUAAGUUAUCCAAGGUCAUGUAUCUAGGAAGCAAUAAAUCUAGGAAAUUCAAAUUUAUUGUUAAUUUUUCUAUUUUUUUAUGGAAUUAAGAAAAUGUUAUUUAUAGUUAAUGCUCUUAUACAGAAUUCCCUAUAUUUAACUUUUUCUUCUUAAAAUGACUUAUUUGAGUAACUAUGAGCCUUGGACAUUUUCAAUUUGGGGGCAUUCGUGGGAAUAUUGGCCUCAAAAGUAUCACUCCAAUUUAUAGUCUGCCUGUUAAUAUACCUUUUCCUUGCAAUCACACCAGUCAUGAGCUUUGUAAAAUAAUUAGAAUUGAAUAUUUUUCCAGAAGAUUGUUUAUAAGUUUUAUUUCCUUUUGAAUGAGUUCAUGGUUCUUAGCUUUUGCUUCUUUAUCUACUGAGUUCUAAGAAAACAUUUUCUCUUUGACUAAAAACAUUUUAUCCUAGGCUCUUUCCUCUCCUGCUCAAUAAGUUGCCAUUGGAACUCUGCAAGGAAAAAUUCUAAAAGUUUCAGUGGUGAAUAGAGCAUAAAUGAGAAAUUAAAGCAUUAAUAUUUGUUAGGAAGUAACUUCUCUUCUAGCACAAAAACAAUACAAAAUAUAUUAUUGUUAUCUUAUAAAUGGCAUUACUUAGACAGGAACCCAGCAAUUUUGGAGUCUACACAAUCAGAAGGAGCUACAGUGGGUCUUAUUCUUACCAAAUAGUAGAAGGUUAAUUCUUUUUCAUCCCUGAGAAUCUGUUUAUUCAGAAUGUAGUGUGCUUGAAUCUCCUGGGUUUGUCCACAGGUCAAAGUACCAAUAAUAGGUUUGAGGUGAAUAUAACUCUUGCUUGGGGAAAAAAAAUGCUUUGCAGUAUGAGAUGUUUGCGUAUGAAAUUCAUCAAGCCACCAGUUAUCAGAACAAUUGUUACUCUCUUUGUAUUUGACCUAAUGGAAGAAUAAAUAAGCUGUUUUAUAUAUAAUAUAUAUAUGAUUGCAAAAAUAUAUAAAAAUAUGCAUAUUAUAUAUGUUUGUAUAUAUAUACAUAAAGCAAUAUAAUAAAGCCAUAUAAGAAGGCUGCUUUCUUAAAUA
rnacentral:lncRNA from 1 species